AAGUCGCGCAAUAGAGAACUGACUAUAUAUGUUCAUUUCUCGAAACGAUAGAAGCCUGGUAGUAAAAAAAUAGAAGAAAUUGUGGUUACGAAAAGUGUAUUCACAUUUUUGCAAGGCACGAUGAAAGCACUUUUUAAUCUUUCCUUGUUAAUUGUGCUAACGGUUAUUACAAUAUCACUGGAAAUAUCCGAAUGCGCAAUGGCGUAUGUGCGACCUACUACCCCUAGUUAUGAGACAAGCAGCUUGUUUGUGCAGGCACCUGCUAUCAUAAAUCUUCCCGAUAAAAACAUAAAUCCAUGUAUGGCAGGUCAAAGGCCGGACAAAUUUGGAAUAUGUCGCGGAAGAGUAUAACAGCAAAGACAUGCAGAUUCAAGAAUAUAAAAUGCAAUUUUAUGCAAAAAUAUAUGCAAUUUUUAUAAUAUUAGAAACUAUAUAA